UGGAAGUUCCCCAGGGCAGACAUCCCUCUGUCCCGGUCUAGAAGUGGACUGGCGACCUGAAGAAUGUGGCCGAGGAAGAGCCACGUCUGAAGCGAGAGGCGCUGAGGCCGGCGCGCGGGUGCAGGGAGGGCCCAGGCCGUCAUCAAAUCCCGGGAGCUGCUUGAGCUGAAGAAUCUGAGAUGCUGAGGAUUUGAUGUGUCUAAGGAUAACAUAAGUGGUCAGUGGUGGAAUUCACCUCAACGUUUCCUACUCCACGCUUUGCAUGACACCGAAGUUUAACACCCAGAUCUCUUGAAGACCUGCAGUAUCAUGAAGAAGUGAAUAGACACUGUGGCCUCCAAGGGGUGAAUAUCCAUCAAGUUCUUUGGAAAAAGCAAGAAAAUAACAAAUAUACAAAAAAGAAAAUAAAAGAAAACCAUGAAACUUUUCAAAGUACCCAGUGUUGCAUCUGAGCUCUUGAGGAGGUAUAAUUUUUGCAGCCAUUCCAGAUGACAUGGAGUAGC